CCAGUGCCCCCCACCUACCCUGCAUACCGGAGGGCAAGAAAGGCACAUACUUAAAGAAGCUGCUGCUUACACAUGCAUUAGAUUUCCAAGAAAACGUUGGGUUAGUACAGCGAGUCCCCAAAAUGAUUGACAUUUAUCCCUGCCCCAAGUCUCAGCUCUAUGACACAUGCGUAUCUUUUGGUGGUUCUUUGGUGGACUUUUGGAUGAAGGCUGAGGUCUUAUUUUCCUUUGACAUGGGUCAGGUUGGAGACUCUUGGCUGGCUCUGGUUGGUCAUCUUAUUGUCUACAACAAGUAAACAAGUGUGAGUAAAACCCGGGGUAAAGUGUGAGUAAAAUCCGGAGUAAGGUGUGACUAAACCCAGAGUAAAUUGUGUGUAAACCUGGAAUAAAGUGUGUGUAAAACCUGAGUAAAGGUUGAGUAAACCUGGAGUAAAGGGUGAGUAAAACUAGAGAAAAGUGUGAGUAGACCCAAAGUAAAGGGUGUGUAAGCCCGGAGUAAAUAAUGAGUAAAGCUGUAGUAAUUUCUGAGUAAACACAAAGUAAAGUUGUGAGUAAAACAAAUGGUGUACAUUGUUAGGAAACACGGAAUAAAGUGAGAGUAAACCCAGAGAAAAGUAUGACUACACCAGGAGAGCAGUCUGAGUAAAAGGGUUGGUAAAGGUAGAGUAAAGCGCGAGUAAUACCCAGAGUAAGGUGUGCCUAAACCCAAAGAAAAUUGUGAGUAAACCCAGAGUACAGGAUGCGUAACCAUAAAGUAAAGAGUGAGUAAACCUGGAGUAGAGGGUGAACAAAGCUUGGAGAAAACUGUGAGGAAACAUGGAGUAAAAUAUGUGUAAAACCUUGUGUAGAAUGUGUGUAAAACCUGAUGUAAAAUGUGAGUAAAGCUAGAGAAAAGUGUGAGUAAACCCAUAGUAAAGAGUGUGUAAGCUCGGAGUAAAUAGUGAGGAAACCUGGUGUAAAUUGUGAGUAAACCCAAAAGUAAACUGAGAGUAAACCGAGAGAAAACUAUGAGUACACCAGGAUUGAAGUGUGUGUAAGCCCAGAGUAAAGGGUUGGUAAAAGUAGAGUAAAGCACGAGUAAUACCCAGAGUAAGGUGUGACUAAACCCAAAGUAAAGUGUGAGUAAACCUGGAGUAAAGAGUGCGUAACCAUGAAGUAAAGAGUGACUAAACCUGGAGUAGAGGGUGACCAAAGCUUGGAGAAAACAUGGAGUAAAAUAUGCGUAACCCUGGUGUAGAAUGUGAGUAUAACCUGAUGUAAAAUAUGAGUAAAG
rnacentral:lncRNA from 1 species